UACGUAGGGUGCGAGCGUUGCCCGGAUUUAUUGGGCGUAAAGGGCGCGUAGGCGGCUCGGCACGUCCGUUGUGAAAUCGCCCGGCUCAACUGGGCGGGGGCAGCGGAUACGGUCGAGCUUGAGCAAGCUAGGGGGCAAUGGAAUUCCCGGUGUAGUGGUGGAAUGCGUAGAUAUCCGGAGGAACACCGGUGGCGAAGGCGGUGGUCUGGGCCGGCACUGACGCUGAGGAGCGAAAGCGUGGGGAGCAAACAGG
rnacentral:rRNA from 1 species